AAAGGACACUAUGUAUGCUAACUUCUAGGGGUAGUGUUCAUUAUUAUACAGUACAUUCAACUAAGCUAAGCAUCGUGUGACAAUCCUCUUUGACAUUGCAUACAGUACAGAGGACAGAGCACAUGAAAGCAACGAGCUAAAUGUUAAAA